CUGCAGCCCGAGUGGUGACCGAUAUUAUUGAGCCUAAAGCGUCCGUAGCCGGUCUGGUAAAUUCUUGGGUAAAUCGGGCAGCUUAACUGUCCGACUUCCGAGGAGACUGCCAGACUUGGAACCGGGAGAGGUCAGAGGUACUCCAGGGGUAGGGGCUAAAUCCUGUAAUCCUUGGGGGACCACCAGUGGCGAAGGCGUCUGACUAGAACGGAUCCGACGGUAAGGGACGAAACCCUGGGGCGCAAACCGGAUUAGAUACCCGAGUAGUCC
rnacentral:rRNA from 1 species